CGAAGAUCCGGACACAGUGUUGUUGUUUUGAUGGGGAAGAGUUCAUGGUGGAAGAGUAAGCGCUAGCAACUCACUUUUCUUGGUCUUUGUCGCCUAUUUGUCGGGAUUCCCGUUGUGUGUUGUGAAGGGUGAUGGUCCAGGAAGUGAGGAGAACUCGAUGAAAAGUGAAUUAAAGAAAAAAGAAGGGGAAAGAGUGCCAGAAAGAGAGAGGCAGGAAGUUGGGUUGGCGCUGGACCGCCUCUCCCUCUCCCUCUCCCUCCCACCGCCCUCGCGCCUGCACAGAAGUUCGCGCCCGCCCUCGCCGCCCACGACCGCGAUCUGAUGCGGGUGGUUGACUGCCCCCGGCCGCUAAGAAGACCGCCCCGCCCCCCCUCGCACCUCACCGCCCCUCCUCCUCCUCCUCCCUUCCCCUCUCCUCCUCCUUCACGCCUUUAUCUUCCUUUCCCUUAUCCCCCUCCAUCGCCUGUUGUCCCUCUUCCUGCGCUUCCUUCCUCUCCUCCUCCUCCUCCUCCUCUGACCCGCUCCUCAAACAUGCGGUCCAAACACUAGCAGUGAGAGUGUGCGUUCCUGCUUGGGUUCUCGUGCUCGUGCGUGCGUGUGGGCGUUCGAGGAGGCAGCGUGUUCCCAGUUCCGUGGGCGUGGGGAUCAUCAGGUGGAACGGGCGUAGCGGAGACGGAGGCGGUGGGCGGCGCGAGGAGGCGGAGGAAGGAGCGCGAGUGGAUCAUGCGGCGUUGGUGGCGGUCAUUGUCGUGGUCGUCGUCGUCGUCGUCGUCUUGGUGAAGGAGAGCCCGAUAGACAGACUGAUAGAGAGAUAUUCAAACAGUCGGGAGGCGCGGUGCUUAGUUCGGUGAGUUCGUGCACCCGACCGCCUGUGUUCCGCUGCCGAGCGCGUCUUCGGCUCGAGUCCAUCUCCAGGAGCGCACGGCGUUCGUCCACUCCGGCGGUGGUGCGUGAGGCGAAGGACGGGCCCCGCUAAGGACGCGAAGAUGGGCUGGCGAGUGCAGUCUUGUUGACCUUGGACACGCCGCGACCCCCAACCCCACCACCCUCCCUCAACCCCCUCAAUUCCCCACCCAUCUCCACAAUUUCGGUGACCAACGCGGCACGUCGGGACGAAAAGCGACGGAAGUUCGGUGUUGUCCAAGGGCAGAGGAAUUGCAGAGAGAGAAGCGAGUGAGUGCAGGAGGUUCAGAUAAAGAGAGAAAGUGAGUGAAAGAGACGGAAAAGAGAAAAAAGAAAAGAGAGAGAGAGCCGCUGUCUGAAGAAAAAAGAGAAAAAUAACCUGUGAGAAAUCGUAUUUAUUGCCGUUUCGUGAAGUGCUCGACACAAACACAAAGAAACCCGGAAGGCGGGAAGAGAAAAGAUACAAAAAGAAAAGAAAGAACAAGUGAAGGAAUAAGAGUGAAUCAGAAAGAGACUAAAGAAAGAGAGAAAGAGAGGGCGAGAGACGGUGCGAGAAAGAGACAGAGAGACCCCCACCAGCAACGGAAGAGCGCCAUUAGCGAGAGGGGGUCUGCCUGCCUGCCUGCCUACACCAACCGGCCUGCGUCACCCCCUCCACCCACCCUUCGUGGCCUGUCUGCCUGGCCCCCAUCUCUCCAUCUCCUCAUCUCAUCGCCUGUCCUGCUGCGCCGCCGCCAUGACACUCAGCGCCGAGUACCAGUGGAAAGUGUACAGAGUGGAAAAUUGAAACGAAGGCCCUAACGAGAAGGAAAAGAAGGGGGAGAGAAAAUAAUAAUAGCAGAUAAUAUAUGAACACUUAAUGGUGAUUAUACCUCCCAUCAUCGCUGUCUCCUUCUCCAUCUUUUCUGCUUCUUUUACUUCCUCUUCUCCGUAGUCUUCCUCCUAGUUCUCCUUCUCCUCUUUGUCUCAACCGACAAGUGAUACAAGAAAUACAAGGAGAUAAAGAGAAACAGGAAAAGUGAGAAAGAGAGGAGAGGUGAAAAUAGGAAGUGAAGGAAAGGAGACAGAGAGAGAAAAGAAUAGAGAAAGAAAUACAGGAAGGAAAAGGGAAGGAGAAAGAACUAAAAGAGGAGAAUCGAAGGAAGGAGGAAGGGAAGGCCCAAUAAAGGAGGCGAGAGAGGUCAUCCGAAAGGCCGAGAGGGGAGGGUGUGCAUGCCGCGGUUGCAUCUGUCGGCGGGGACGGACACGGCAGCUGGUCGUCGCGGGCCAGCUGGGAGGAGGGCAGAAGGAGACGGCCAGAGAACGCCGGGGAUUCCCCUCUCCUGACACUUAUCCCCUCUCCUCCCUUAUUCCUCUAUCCUUCCUCCUUUUUCCCCCUCCGCCAUCUCCUGACGCGCGUCCCCUCUCCUUAUCCUCUCUCCUGUCCCCUUGCCUCCGCCC
rnacentral:lncRNA from 1 species